rnacentral:rRNA from 1 species
GACGAACGCUGGCGGCGUGCUUAACACAUGCGAGUCGAACGGAAAGGCCCUGCUUUUGUGGGGUGCUCGAGUGGCGAACGGGUGAGUAACACGUGAGUAACCUGCCCUUGACUUUGGGAUAACUUCAGGAAACUGGGGCUAAUACCGGAUAGGAGCUCCUGCUGCAUGGUGGGGGUUGGAAAGUUUCGGCGGUUGGGGAUGGACUCGCGGCUUAUCAGCUUGGUGGUGGGGUAGUGGCUUACCAAGGCUUUGACGGGUUGCCGGCCUGAGAGGGUGGCCGGCCACGUUGGGACGGGACUGCGGCACGGACUCCUCCGGGAGGCAGGGGUGGGGAAUGUUGCACAAUGGGCGGAAGCCUGAUGCAGCGACGCCGCGUGCGGGAUAACGGCAUUCGGGUUGUAAACCGCUUUCGCCUGUGACGAAGCGUGAGUGACGGUAAUGGGUGAAGAAGCACCGGCUAACUACGUG